UAGUUAUGGUGAGGACGCAUACUCGACAAAUCCUUAAAUCUUUCCCAAGAUUGAUACAAAGUCUCACUGUCUUUUUGUGCAAAUGUGAAAAUUUACAUUUUUAAAGUG